GUCCAGACUCCUACGGGAGGCAGCAGUGAGGAAUAUUGGUCAGUGGUCGGGAGACUGAACCAGCCAAGCCGCGUGAGGGAUGAAGGUACAGAGUAUCGUAAACCUCUUUUGUCAGGGAACAAAGGCGGGGACGCGUCCCCGGAUGAGUGUACCUGAAGAAAAAGCAUCGGCUAACUCCGUGCCAGCAGCCGCGGUAAUACGGAGGAUGCGAGCGUUAUCCGGUUUUAUUGGGUUUAAAGGGGGCGUAGGCGGUGUGUUAUGACGGGGGAAAAACGCGGGGGCCCAACCCCGGGCCCGCCGUUGAAACUGGCAGUCUCGAGUUGGAGAGAAGUAUGCGGAAUGCGCGGUGUAGCGGUGAAAUGCAUAGAUAUCGCGCAGAACUCCGAUUGCGAAGGCAGCAUGCCGGCUCCACACUGACGCUGAGGCACGAAAGCGUGGGUAUCGAACAGGAUUAGAUACCCGAGUA
rnacentral:rRNA from 1 species